ensembl:snRNA Gm24391 predicted gene, 24391
GUGUUCACUUUACCAGCACACACACUACAAUUGAAACAGACAGAGAUUAGCACGGCCCCCACACAAGGACAGCACACAAAUUCCUAAUCGUUCCCAAUUUUU